rnacentral:rRNA from 1 species
GAUGAACGCUGGCGGCGUGCCUAAUACAUGCAAGUCGAGCGAACAGACGAGGAGCUUGCUCCUCUGACGUUAGCGGCGGACGGGUGAGUAACACGUGGAUAACCUACCUAUAAGACUGGGAUAACUUCGGGAAACCGGAGCUAAUACCGGAUAAUAUAUUGAACCGCAUGGUUCAAUAGUGAAAGACGGUUUUGCUGUCACUUAUAGAUGGAUCCGCGCCGCAUUAGCUAGUUGGUAAGGUAACGGCUUACCAAGGCAACGAUGCGUAGCCGACCUGAGAGGGUGAUCGGCCACACUGGAACUGAGACACGGUCCAGACUCCUACGGGGGGCAGCAGUAGGGAAUCUUCCGCAAUGGGCGAAAGCCUGACGGAGCAACGCCGCGUGAGUGAUGAAGGUCUUCGGAUCGUAAAACUCUGUUAUUAGGGAAGAACAAAUGUGUAAGUAACUAUGCACGUCUUGACGGUACCUAAUCAGAAAGCCACGGCUAACUACGUG